rnacentral:lncRNA from 1 species
CUGCUAUAUCGGUAUUUUGUGUAUUUUUUCCUUUUCCUUUUUAUUGGUCCUUGUGCUAAAUUCCCUCUGAUUUUGAAAUUAAUUGUUAUGGUCUUUGAAUACGCUGUUGGUAACUGCGAGUACUCUUAGAUCAGUAUUUUGAAUCUAACACUGACUGGAUGUUAAAUUAUGCCACUGUAUACAUGUAUUAUUCAACGAUAUAUACUUGAAAUAACGUGGUUGUCGUAAGUCAGUUGAAACAUUAUUUUUAUUGUUCAAAAGAGCAAACAGUCAGAGAAAAGUAAUCAACUAAGUCACAUUUGCCCAACGUCUGUUUUUGUUCCUGUUUGUAAUAUUUGAUUUUUUUUUAGUUCAUGUUUGUAGUACUAAUCGGUCGUUGGUUUUUCAGUUUUUCAAUUUCUAACAUUUUGUUGUUUUUGGCUUUUUAGAGCUUACAAUAUGGUUUUCAGGUCGUACUGUAGCCUUAUCUAUUUAUCUUUCGUUUUCGGUCUAUAGAUAGUUUUGUCAUUGGUAAUCAUACACUACAUCUCCCUGUCUUUAUUUUGUAUGUAACGGAGUUAUUUUAAAAUUAACAUUGACUUGAUAUCAUUUUAACUGAUAAUGAAAUUUUAAUCAUAAACAAACUUGCUGACUAGUAUACUUAUAAUCUAUACAAGCAUAUUUG